rnacentral:rRNA from 1 species
UACGUAGGUGGCAAGCGUUGUCCGGAUUUACUGGGCGUAAAGGGCGUGCAGGCGGUUUGUUAAGUCUAGGGUGAAAGCUCCCGGCUCAACUGGGAGAGGUCCUUGGAUACUGGCAGACUUGAGGAGGGUAGAGGAGAGUGGAAUUCCCGGUGUAGUGGUGAUAUGCGUAGAUAUCGGGAGGAACACCAGUGGCGAAGGCGGCCUGCUGGGCUGUUGCUGACGCUGAGAUGCGAAAGCGUGGGGAGCAAACAGG